rnacentral:rRNA from 1 species
UACAGAGGUGCCAAGCGUUGUUCGGAUUUAUUGGGCGUAAAGGGUGCGUAGGCGGUGAUGCAAGUCGGGUGUGAAAUACCGGAGCCUAACUCCGGAACGGCAUUCGAAACUGCAUCGCUAGAGAUCUGGAGAGGUGAGUGGAAUUCUCGGUGUAGCAGUGAAAUGCGUAGAUAUCGAGAGGAACACCAGAGGCGAAAGCGACUCACUGGACAGGAUCUGACGCUGAGGCACGAAAGCUAGGGGAGCAAACGGG